CCACACCAGCUCUGCAAGCUUGAAUCCUCCUUAUGGUGCACGUUGGUCCUGUUUGACGCUAAUCUGGGUGCCCAGGGAGAACAUCUGAUCGAGGCGGGAAUUGCCAAACUCUGUCCUGUGAGCCAAAUCCAGCGCACCAUCCUGAGAAAUUCGCACCAAAGGAAUCUUUGCCAAGACCCAGGAGACUGGAACU
rnacentral:lncRNA from 1 species